AGAGAAUGCAUCUGCCAUUAAUACACUGUACACUCCGAAUAGAAGCCUUCACAAUACAGUGGAAUGAAUUCAUAUAUAUGAAUAUUCACUUAGGACUAGAUUUAUAUAUAUAUAUAUAUAGAUUUAUGCAAUGAUUGUUAAUUGCAGACGUAUGGAGAUUCCAAUAUAAAAGCCUAUCCAGAUGACAAUCAUGGAUGAAAAUAGCAAAAUGUGAUUCCAGUGAUAUCUCAUUAACCCAGGAUUAGUGUAUGGCUGGCCCCCUGACUUGGAAUUUACCCAGCAACAGCGGCAUAUAAGGCUGUGAAUCAGGGGUGACUGAGAGGCCCAAGCUGCAGACAGCAAGGGGGCUUAUCUUAGCGGGCAUUUACUGUGACUUCAUUAGGAUUGUGGGCUUCCUCUGCCUACCUGCAUUUUGUAGGGCAACAGGGGUCAUAACUGUAAAGCAAUGAGGUUUCAAAUACUUUAACAGGUAUCCUAAUGCAAGUUAUCUCCAGAAGGUAUUUGUUCUGUACAUUAUUAGGGAGGAAAGCAUACCCUGAACACAGGACACUCUUUCAGCACAGGACUGGCAGGCUCCUGUAUGGUUUUUCCUGAUGCCCUUGCAUGUCUAUGGAGUUCUGCUACUAAGAGCGCAGCCAAGUAACUGGAGAAGGACCUGGUUCUGGCCAGAAUGUGGAGGGAGAUACAUUCACACUGUGUGUAAAUGGUUCUGAGUGCCGGACAAGGGUCCCGACCUUCUGCAGAUGGUGGCUCCUCCAGCACC